GGAUAUGUGGAUAUAUGUAUGCAUAUAGCUGAUUCAUUUUGCUGUACACUAGAAACUAACACAACAUCGUAAAGCAUUUAUACUAAAAAAGUUAAGGAAACUAAGCACUCAAAAAAAAAAAAAAAAAAACCAAAGGUAAAUAGAUCUCCCUUACCAGGAUACCCAAACUACAUUUUAAGGCUGUUGCUCUCUUGUGCUUUACCCCUGUUCAUGUGAAAGAAUUGAAUUAAAAACAUUGAGUUUCUCUCGUUUUGUUUAAAAAAUUUAAAUCAGGGGGCUAAAUUGACUUUUAACAUAUUUUUAACUUGAAAUAGCAUUUAUAUUGAUUCUUCAUUAUUGAGAAAGAUGCUGGUUUCAUAAUUAAUGGGUUUGCAGCAAUCCUUAAAAAAUAAUUUCGCAGCUCAGAUUUGUUUCUUUUUUAACCCUAAGUAUUUGGAAUCAGAUUGUUGAAAAGUCUUUAAGUAUAUUAACAAAUCACCUUUUUGAUGUACCUUUAAAUGAAUCUGAGAAAAUGUUGAUGAAGCAUUGCUUUCAAAUAUGUAGGAUAUAUUGUCUAGCUGGCAACACUUUGGGAGGUUACUAAGAAUGCUCUAUUUCCAAUUCCGCCAGUUAAGGUGUCAAGGGUAGCAUUUACAUUAGACUGUAUUGGGACAAAAAUGUUUCUCAAAACCUAAGGCAUUAUUAUGGUUUUAUGUAAUCAAAGUGAUAAGCCUGGAUAUAUUUCUUGUACAAGUAUAUACUUAUUUUUAAAAAACCAAGAUUUGUGUUUAUGAAGUUUUGAUAAUCCUUGUGAAAUGAUAUGUUAAGAGGGAUAUUGAACGGACCCUGGAUGUCUAUCAACAAUGUGAGAGAAACUUAAAUCGAAUUACACAGCUAACUAACUUUAUUUUAGUGAAAAAGAAAGGUUUCCCUGCCAUUUACAAUUAACAAAUGAUUUCUUUUCUUUCUUUUUUGGUAACAGUUUUAUUGAGAUGUAAUCCACAUGCAAUUUACCUAUUUAAGUUGUAGAGUUCAGUAGUUUUAGUAUUUCGUAGAGUUGUGCAGCUAUUUAUUUCCACCUUCAUCACCUUAAAAAGAAAUCCUAAACCCUUUAGCUAUCAGUCCCAACUCCUUCCUUCCCUCACCAGCCCCAGGCAGCCCCAAGCAGCCACUAAUCUCGUUUCAUUAUAUAUUGGCAUAUUCUGGACAUUUCCUAUAAAUGGAAUCAUAUAAUAUGUGGUCUUUUGUGAUUGGAUUCUUUUCACUUAGCGUAAUGUUUUCAAGGAUAUAUCUGUAUUUCAUUCCUUUUUAUUGCUGAAUAAUAUUCUGUUAUAUGGAUAGUCCAUAUUUUGUUUACCCAUUCAUCAGUUGAUGGACAUUUGAGUUAUUUCUACCUUUGAGCUAGUUUGAAUAAUGUUGCUAUGAACGUUAAUGUACAGGUUUUUAUGUGGACAUACGUUGUCAUUUCUCUUGAUUGUAUACCUGGGAGUGGAAUUGCUAGGUCAUUUGGUAACUCUCUGCUUAGCAUUUUGAAGAACUGCCAGAUUGUUUUCCAUAACAACCGUCCCAGUUCACAUUCCCGACAGCAGCAGUAGGGUUCCAGUUUCUCCUCAUCCUCACCAAUGCUUGUUCUUAUUUGUCUUUUUUAUUCUAGCCAUACUAGUGUGUGUUGAAGUGGUAUCUCAUUGUGGUUUUGAUUUGCUUUUGCCUAAAGGCUAAUGAUGAGCAUCUUGUUUAUUGUUUUGUUUAUUGGCCAUUUUUAUAUGUUCUUUGGAGAAAUGUCUAUUCAGGUUCCUUGCUCAUUUUUUUAAAUUGUGUUAAAAAAUAAACAAAAUUGUUUAUUUUGUUGAGUUGUGAGAGUUCUUUAUAUAUUCUGGAUACAAAUCCUUCAUUAGAUGUGUGAUUUGCAGAUAUUUUCUCCUAUACUGUAGGUUGUCAUUUCGAUUUCUUAAUGGUUUCCGUUGAAGCACAAGUUAUUAAUUUUGAUGAAAUCCAAUUUAACUUUUCUUUUGUUGCUUUUGGUGGCAUAUGUAAGAAUCCAUUGCUAAAUCCAGGGUCAUAAAGAUUUAUAUCUGUGUUUUCUUCUAAGAAUUUUAUAGUUUUAGCUUUUACAUUUAGGUCUUUGAUCCAUUUUGAAUCAUUUUUUAUAUAAGGUGUGAGAUGGGAGUUCAAAUUCAUUCUUUUGCAUGUGGCUAUCCUGUUGUCCCAACACCAUUUGUUGAAGAGACUGUUUUUCCCAUUGAAUAAUCUUGGCACCCUUGUCAAAAUCAACUUGCCAUAAACGUAUGGUCUUAUUUCUGGGCUCUCAGUUCUCUUCUGUUGAUGUAUAUGCCUAUUUUUAUGUAACUACCACACUUUCUUGAUUACUGUUGCUUUGUAGUAAGUUCUGAAAUCGGGAAGUUUGAGUCCUCCAACUUUGUUCUUUUUCAAGAUGGUUUUGGCUAUUCUGGGUUCCUUGAAUCUCCAUAUGAAUUUUAGGGUCAGUGUGUCAAUUUCUAUGAAGAAGCCCUCUGGGAUUCUGAUAGGGAUUGAGUUGAAUCUGUAGAUCAAUUUGGGGAGUAUUGCCAUCUUAACAAUAUUAAGUCUGCCUGUCUAUAAACACAAUAUAUCUUUCCAUUUAUUUAGCUCUGAAUUUUUUUUCAAAAAUAUUUUGUAGUUUUCAGAGUUUAACUUGUUUUUACUUUUUUACUGUGGUAAAAUACAUAUGACAUAAAAUGUGCCAUUUUAACUUUUUUUUUUUUUUUUUCUCUUCGCGGCACGCGGGCCUCUCACUGCUGUGGCCUCUCCCGUUGCGGAGCACAGGCUCCGGACGCGCAGGCUCAGCGGCCAUGGCUCACGGGCCCAACCGCUCCGCGGCACGUGGGACCCUCCCGGACCGGGGCACGAACCCGCGUCCCCUGCACCGGCAGGAGGACUCCCAACACCGCGCCACCAGGGAAGCCCCAUUUUAACUUUUUGAGUGAUCAUUUAGUUGCAUUAAUUCCAUUCACCAUGCAAAGUGUAAGAUUUGUACUUAUUUUGUUAAAUUAUUCCCGUUUGUCUCUUUUUAAAUGCUAUUGCAAGUGGAAUUGUUUUCUUAAUCUCAUUUUUGGAUUGUUCAUUGCAAAUUUAUACAAAUACAAUUUUUUUAUAUAAAUUUUAUUUAUUUAUUUAUGGCUGCGUUGGGUCUUCGUUGCUGCACGCAGGCUUUCUCUGGUUGUGGCAAGCAGGGGCUACUCUUCGUUGUGGUGUGUGGGCUUCUCAUUGCGGUGGCUUCUCUUGUUGUGGAGCAUGGGCUCUAGGCGCAUGGGCUUCAGUAGUUGUGGCACGUGGACUCAGUAGUUGUGGCUUGCGGGCUCUAGAGUGCAGGCUCAGCAGCUGUGGCGCAUGGGCUUAGUUGCUCCGCAGCACGUGGGAUCUUCCCGGGCCAGGGCUUGAACCCAUGUCCCCUGCAUUGGCAGGUGGAUUCUUAACCACUGCGCCACCAGGGAAGCCCCAAAUACAAUUUUUUUUAAUAGUGAUUCUGUAUCCUGCAAAAUUGCUCAACUUGUUUAUUAGUUCUAAUGGUUUUUUUAGUGGAUUUCUUAGGAGUUUUGUGUACAAAGUCAUGUCACCCAUGAAUAGAGGUAGUUUUGUUUUUUCCUUUCCAAUUUGGAUGCCUUUUAUUUAUUUUUGUUGCCUAAUUGUCCUGGCUAGAACCUCUGGUACAGUGUGGAAUAGAAGUGGCAAGCGUGGGCAUUCUUGUCUUAUUCCUGAUCUUAGGGAGAAAGUGUCUCUAUCUUUCACCAUUAAGUAUGCUGUUAGCUGUGAGUUUUCAUAGAUGCCCUUUAUUAGGUUGAGGAAGUACCCUUCUAUUCCUAGUUUGUUGAGUAUUUUUGUCAUGAAAGUUUAUUGGAUUUUAUCAGCUGCUUUUUGCAUCUGUGGAGAUAAUCAUGUGGCUUUUGUUUCUUAUUCAGUUGCUGUGGUGUAUUACAUUUAAUUGAUUUCUGUAUGUUGAAUCAACCUUGCAUUCCUGGGAUAAAUCCCACUUGGUCACAGUGUACAAUUCUUUUUCUGUGUUACUUGAUUUGGUUUGCUAGUAUUUUGUUGAAGAUUUUUGCAUCUAUAUUCAUAAGAGAUAAUUGGUCUGGAGUGUUUUUCUUUCCUCAUAUAUGUCUUUGUCAGGUUUUGGUAUCAGGAUAAUACUGGCCUUAUAGAAUGAGUUAGGAAGGGUUCUCUCUUACAUUUUUUGACAGUUUGUGAAAAAUUAAUAUAUGAUUCUUCCCAUGUUUGAUAAAAGUCACCUAUGAAGCCAUCUGGGCUUUUUACUUAAUUUAUUUUAUUUUAGGUUUUGGCUUCUCUUUGUUGUGGAGCAUAGGUUCUAGGCACGCGGGCUCAGUCACUGUGGCUCGCGGGCUCUAGAGCUCAGGCUCAUGGGCUUAGUUGCUCCAGGGCAUGUGGGAUCUUCCUGGACCAGGGCUCGAAUCCGUGCCCCCGGCACUGGCAGGUAGAUUCUUAAUCACUGCGCCACCAGGGAAGUCCCUGGGCUUUCUUUGUGGUUAGUUUUUUGAUUACUAAUUCAGUCUCUUUAGUUAUUAUAGAUCUGUUCACAUUUUCUGUUUCUUCUUGAGUCAAUUUGGUAGUUUUUGUCUUUUUAGGAAUUUGUCCAUUUCACUGAGGUUAAUUUGUUGGCAUACAGUUGUUUGUAGUAUUUCUUAAUCCUUUUAUUUCUGUAGGAUCUGUAGUAGUGUCCCCUCUUUCGUUUCAGUUCUAGCAAUUUGAGUCUCCUCUUUUUUUUUUUUUCCUUGGCCAACUUUAAAAUGGUUAAAAUGGCAAAUUUUACAUUAUAUAUAUUUUAUCUGAACAAAAAAGUAAUUGCAAGUAAAGGUAAUUGAAAUCCAUCCAUGUUGUUGAGUGUAAAUAACUAUAGCUAGUUCUUUCUGGUUGCUGUAUAGUAGUCCACUGAAUUCGUUUCCCACAGUUUAUCCAUUCAUUCAGAUGGACAUCUGGGUUGUCCAGUUUGGGGCUAUUAAUGAAGAGUGAUGCUGCCAGAAAUUGUUUUGGUUUUUAAAAUUCUCCAGAAAGAAUGAAUGAUUUUUCUAAAUCUAGUGCCUCUCUCCAAACGUUGAAUUCUGUAAUAGUUUGUGGCGGGUGGUCACAGAUGGUCCAAGUCCCAGUUCUUGGUAGCUUAGGAUUGUCCCUCAUACCAAGUAUUAAAAAUAUUAGAACCUAUAUCACAGAAAUUAUAUUUGGCCAGUGCUAUUUUUAUUUUAAAUAAUGUUAAAAUUAUAAAAAUAAUGUAUGCUCGUGAUUUAAUGAAUUCAGGCAGUAUAGAAGGGUAUGUCAUAGAGGGUAAAAGUCUUCUUCCCCUUAGUUGUAUUAUAAUUUUUUUACUUCUUUUUAAAUUUUAGAGCAUCUUCUAGAAUUUACAUUAAAAUUGAAUAUUGAUUUGAAAGCUUUUUAACAUCAAAAUAUAUUUCUAUUUAUAGUCAUUUCAAAUUUUUCAUAAGAAAUUAAUGUUAGAAUAUGGUUAUUACAUAUAUCGAGGAUUGUGAUUUUUGUCUUUGACUAUUAAUUUUUAUUGUUUAUAUUAAUAUACAUAAUGCUGUUGAAUCAUUCAUACAUUGCCAGGAUAAAGCACACUUAGCCAUGGCAUUUUAUUCUCUAACUGCACAGUCAAACCUGUUGUAUUCAUGUUUUCUGUAUUAAUUGAAGAGGAGUCUGUAGUUAGUGGUUUUAACUUUCAUAUGUUGUCUUUGGAAUAUUUUGGUAUCAGAAUUAUGCUAAGAAAUAAGAUUUUUUAUGAAAAGUUAUAAAGCUUCCAGUCUUGUGUUCAAGAAUAUUUUUACAGAGUGAAGAACUAUCUAAAUACAGUGGCUUUCAGUGGGGGAUAUUCUUAGACAGCUUUCAAACUUAGUAUUCUGUUGGGUUUUCUGUCUCUUGGUUGAUUUUAUAAUUAAUAUUCCCUAAGAAACACCAUUCAUUUUAUCAAUAACCUUUGGUGUAUUAACAUGGAAUUGUAUAUGAAAUAAUUUAACUACUUUUAUUUCUUUUAUGCCUGUGGCUACAUCAUUUUUAGUUUUCACUCAGUAAUUAGGGGGAGUUACCAAUUUUAUGUUGUCAAAGUUUAUAGCAUUUAUGUUAUGUUGUGACUUACAGUGAAAUCUUUUUCAUUCUAAGUCUAAGUUGGUUGUAAGAAUUGGAAACUAAUGAAUAGAAUUUAUAAUAAUUUUAGGUAUGUAACUGUUAUUCACUGUAAAACCCAAUUGUGUGACUGGACCCAGGGAGAAGGCACCUAUCCUGUGCCUUGAGCAGGAGAGUCAUCCAGAUGUUAGCAUUGAGGAGUCCCUGGACUUUCUUCCUAACUUUCUUUGCUGCUUCUGGGCAUAACUCAGCUGCCACCGUUUCUUACUGCUCACGUCACUCUUUCUUGGAUUCUUUUAUUUUGUCAGUGAAAUGGACAAAUUCCUAAAAAGACAAAAACUACCAAAUUGACUCAAUGAUUUGCUAGAGUCUUUUCAUGGUGGGGGGAUAUGUAUACACAUAUAUAUAUUUUUUAAAUUUAUUUUUAAAUUUUGUUAUUUAUUUUUGGCUACAUUGGGUCUUCAUUGCUGCGUGCAGGCUUUCUCUAGUUGUGGUAAGUGGGGGCUACUCUUUGUUGCGGUGCGCGGGCUUCUCAUUAUAGUGGCUUCUCGUUGUGGAGCACGGGCUCUAGGCGCACGGGCUUCAGUAGUUGUGGCAUGUGGACUCAGUAGUUGUGGCGCGCAGGCUCUAGAGCGGAGGCUCAGUAGUUGUGGCACACAGGCUUAGUUGUUCUGCGGCAUGUGGGAUCUUCCCGGACCAGGACUUGAACCCGUGUCUCCUGCGUUGGCAGGCGGUUUCUUAACCACUGUGCCACCAGGGAAGCCCCGUAUAUGUUUUAUAUAUACAACUGUAUGUGUAUAUAACAUUUUCCCCCCAUGAAGGGAUCAAGGGUGGUAAUCUUUCCAAGUUAUUGCAUGUCUAAAAAUGUCUUAUUGUGCCCUUAUUUUAGUGGUGUUUGUUUGACUGAGUAUGGAUUUCUAGUGUCGAAACGUCUCCCUCUUUUUUUUUUUUUAAAGUCAAGUCUAUUUUUUUUUUAAAUUAAUUAAUUUAUUUUUGGCUGUGUUGGGUGUUUGUUGCUGUGUGCGGGCUUUCUCUAGUUGCAGCGAGCGGGGGCUACUCUUCGUUGCAGUGUGCGGGCUUCUCAUUGCGGUGGCUUCUCUUGUUGCAGAGCACGGGCUCUAGGCGCAAGAGCUUUGGUAGUCGUGGCACGCGGGCUCAGUAGUUGUGGCUUGAAGGCUGUAGAGCGCAGGCUCAGUAGUUGUGGCGCACAGGUUUAGUUGCUCCGUGGCAUGUGGGAUCUUCCGGGACCAGGGAUCGAACCUGUGCCCCCUGCAUUGGCAGAUGGAUUCUCAACCACUGUGCCACCAGGGAAGCCCCGAAAUGUCUCCCUCUUGAAAAAGAUAUUCCUUCAUGAUCAUGGUGAGGUGCUGGGUAGAAGGUGGCUGUAAUUUUUUCUCUUUCUGAGGAUACUAAUUAGAAUUUUUACAAGUGUUCUCCCUGAUUUAUGUUCCCUGUGGGGUCAGUUCUUUGUUCACCUUGGAACUUUUCCUCUUAAUGAUUUUCCUUCAAAUACUGGUAAUUCUUGGUUGUUCUUUUUGUCGUGGAUUAUUUAGAAAACUUCCCUAAAAAUAAUAUAGAAUUACUAGUUGUUCCUACUGAGUGGUGAUGUUUUUGAGCACUGCUAAAUCCUUAGUCCAUCAGAUUUUAUUAUUUAUUUAUUUAUAUUUUUAAAAUUGAGGUAUAGUUGUUUUACAAUGUUGUGUUAGUUUCUACUGUACAGCGAAGUGGAGUUCCCUGUGCUAUACAGCAAGUUCUUGUUAUCUGUUUUAUACAUAUUAGUGUAUAUAUGUCAAUCCCGAUCUCCCAAUUCAUCCUACCCCUCACCCCCCACCUCCUCCAUCAGAUUUUAUAGUUUUUCCUCUCUGGUAGCAUUUUCAUAACGAUUGGUUUGUAAUAUAAACAAAACUUCAUUUUGUAAGAAGAAAAAAAACUUAAAAAAUUCACACCAUUCUUAAUAUCUGUUUCACAGCACCAGCCACAUCCCUCUUCUUAUGGCUUAUUUCUUCCCUACUACAGUAAUUAUUGUGGAUUGUAUUCCAAGUUUAACGAUGCUAAAAAUACUACAUUUAUUAUCUGUGAAAAAUAUUCUCCAGUAAAAUGAACUUUAAAUGUUUUUUAAAAUAAAGUUUGGUGUGGAGAAAUUUAACUGUUGUUUUCCACUUUUCCCAUGGUAUUCUCGUUUCUUCAAAGUGAAAGAGAGUCCUUAGGUAAACAUUUAGCAGUUAGAGCAUCACCUAGACCUUCUGAAAGUUGAGUCCAGGGUACGUGCUGCUGCACCGGCAUUAACCAGGUCAGGGUCUAUAGAGAUCUGUUACGCUGAAUACUGAAGCCGUUAGUCAUGGCAGCUUUGCAGAGUUUGUUCGAAAUGUUUACCAGCUCAUAAAACUUUUAUGACCCAGAAGGAAUGCCAGCAAUAAAACAAAUGAACUCAUAACAGAUAAACUGGGUGUGUAGCUGAUUUUCGUGCCCAGAUAUGCUUCCAGUGAGGAAAACUGUUGUGUGGUUUGUGACAAGACUUUGUGGAGAUUUGGAUUCUUUCUGUUUGGAUUUCAAUUGAUUUGAGUAUUUGUAAAAGGAAACUCAUUUGUCAAAAACUUCUAGCCUAAUAUCCCUUGUCCUGCCUUCACUGUCCAUUUAGAUAUGAAAUAAUCGAGGACCCCAUGUUUGAAAAUGUCAUUGUUCCUUUUUUGGAAUGGCUUGAAUUUUUCAUAUGUUGAUAUUCUUUGUUUUCGUAAUUAGUGUUAAUAAAAGUGAUAGCAAUUGGUAUUAUCUCCUAAGUCCAUUAAAAAAAUUUAUUAUAGGAAUCUCAAUGAGAGAGUAGAAUAUUGAACCCCUCCGUCUUUCUGCGGAGCCCACGUGUCUGAUUCAGCCCGCCUGCCCGCCCCCCGGCAUUUUAUGACAAUUUGAAGAGUUGAUUAAUGUCUCGCUGGUAUCCUUCCCUUUUCCCCACACUUCAUAUUGGUUUGUUCAGCUUUUUCGUAUACAUUUCUUAGAACUUUAUAUUUUAAUAUUCCCUACUGUUUCCUUGUUAUAUUAGGGAAAUUAGCUGCUUUUCUAUAUUCUGUUUGAUAGUUUUUCUUAGUUUGUCUUUUGUCAGAACUCGCUGGUGUUUCGUUCUGAGUUUAUUACUGUAAGUUGAAGUGGAGGGUGCCGGGGUCUGAGGUCUCCAGUGCUGGCCCCCCUUCCUGUGCCGGAUGCCCCCUCUUCCUGUGCCGGAUGCCCCCUAUUCCUGUGCCAGGUGCCCCCCUUCCUGUGCCGGGUGCCCCCUCUUCCUGUGCUGGAUUCCCCCCACUUCCUGUGCCGGAUACCCCUCUUCCUGUGCCGGAUACCCCUCUUCCUGUGCCGGGUGCCCCCUCUUCCUGUGCCGGGUGCCCCCCUUCCUGUGCCAGGUGCCCUCCUUCCUGUGCCGGAUUCCCCCCACUUCCUGUGCCAGGUACCCCUCUUCCUGUGCCGGGUGCCCCCUCUUCCUGUGCCGGGUACCCCUCCCUUCCUGUGCCAUGUACCCCCCCUUCCUGUGCCAGGUGCCCCCUUCCUGUGCCGGGUGCCCUCCUUCCUGUGCCGGGUGCCCCCUCUUCCUGUGCGGGAUGGCGGGUAGGCUAGGCUCUGUCACCAGCGCCUUUAGACAGCCAGUGAGCACUGCCUGGCGUGGAGCUGGAGAAAAUGCUGGGUGGCCAGAGUUCAGCGCAGCUUCCUCUGUCUGGAGAAAUGAGAGGCCUCGCUGAGGCGAGCCGGUCGUGUUUGAUCUGGUCGCAGAGGGGGUGGAGGUUUGCUGGGUGGAGGGGAGGCCAGAGCAGAGUGGCCUGGAGGCCCGGCGGGAGGAGCGGGGCGUGGCUGGACGGUGCUGAGGAGUUCCGUGGAGGGUGCAGGCUGGGAGUGGGGAGCCCGAGGCUGGGAAAGUGGGUCAGAUCCCGAUGAAGGGGCGAGGAGCAUGCUCAGAGGGUAGAAGCCACCCCGGGAGUGGGAGGAGGUGCAGACAGCUGUGUAGCCGUGUGACAGGCGGGCCACCCCCCGCCGGCCUUUCCUGAGUGACCGUUGUGGUUAUGGAAGAGGCGGUGACGCUGCACACCGUGGCACACAGCUCCAGCCACCCCUUCGCCGGUCCUGUCUCCUAAAGACACGUUCUGGUAGCUGCUCCGGUGCCCACGCGGGCCUUCCCGGACCUUCGCUUAACCCCCCACCCUUGGUCACGCCAGCGCGGGCCCCUCUGCGCGGGCCGCACCCGGGGGCACCCGGGAUUCCGGAGGCCUGCGCGGGGCAGGCCAGGCCCGGCUGGAGAUGAUGGUGGGCGGGGCUCUGGGGUAGCCUGCUGUGCCCCGCCGGCCCUGCCACUCAGCGUCCUCCGUGCCGGUCAGGUGGUCCCCUUCCCAUCCCGCCGCAGAGUUCCAGGUCCUCUAGGUGUGAGAAGGCUGGUCCCGUAGGGAAGUCACAGUGAUUCUCAGCGUUUCCUCUUAAACUGGGGUUCGCACGGUCAGGGUCAGGGUGGGACGAGCCCUCGAGGCUGGUUGGGAGGUUGUGAGUAUCAUGUGCACUGGAGGAUGUGAUGGCUCCCAGUGGGGGACGGGCACGGCAUCCCCUGACCAAGCAGGGGGGUGAGGGAAGUGAGAGGUGCGGGAUUGCCUCUCGGGUCCUUCGUGUCAGAAACGGCCACGCUGCCCAGGACGUGGGGAAAGGGUCCUCACUGACUUCAAGGCCAGAAGCUCAUUUAGGUGCUUGUUCAACUUGGAUGACCAGCAGGGAACUCCAAGAGACACGCUGGGCUCCUAGCAUCUAUCUUAGAUAUUUUUUUAAAUAUAAGGCAGGUCUUAAAUAUAACAUAACAGUUGUUUGUUGGAGACACUUUGGAAUUGACAUUGGUGAGGAUCACUUUUUAAAAUAUGAUCUUAAGCUUUUGGUUUUUUAAUCGGGCUUCAGAAAAAGUAGUUCAUGCUUGGCUGUGUCUGACAGUGAAGCCGUACCCUCCAGUGCAUCCAGCUCUUACUUUUUCUUUAAUCCAGCUCUGAAAAGCCAACCUGCCGACAGGCCAAACAAAGGCUGUGCCCUUGAAAUGUUAGGAGAGCCAAGCAGCUUCCUGCUGAGAGCACUCCGGGGAAGAGCUAAGGAGGGGUGUGUGUGCAGAUUCAGUUCACUCAGAAUCACCAGACAUUCUGGAAAAGUGUGAUUUUUUUAAAAUCAAAUAACACUUGUAAUAUAAAUCUUUAAUUUUAAUGAAGGAUUGUUUAAGGAGAAAGCCAUUUUUUGAUUGGUUCUUAUAGUGUGCAAAGGUAGACUUCACAAAGCUAGAUGUCCUUUUUUGAAAUGUUAACAUUUGCCAACCUUUCAGUAAAAUUGUAUUGAUUUAUGGGAAGCUUUUGUCAUUUGUUUGUUUUCAGCUUGUCUCAUCUCUGGCUGGGUAGUGAGAAGAGGACCACCUUACCAAUGGCUAGAUGAAACCAGAGUGAUACUUUAAAAAGUCUUAUAUACAAACAGCUUCCUUCCUACUUUUUAACUUAUUUUGCGAACGGUGAGCUGAAGAUAGAAGAUACAGGAGGACAUUUAACCUUCUCUAGUGUCUGGAUUAUUUUCCUUUAUGUUUCAUUUCCUUUACGCUGACAUUUUAUUAGUGAAAAAAUACAAAGCAGAGGGCUUGCUCGCUUAUUUUUUAAAAAGUACCUCAGAAAUGCAUGGGUUCAGUUGGAUGAUGUGACGUACCACUUAAUGUGGAUAGCGUGGCAUCCAGCCUUGGACAUAUCCAAUUGUUGAUGUUCAAAUACACAGCAUAUAAAAUGAGUGAAGCCAUUUUUGUCACAUCUAAAGUACUUCUCCAGCAACUUUAUAAGCUUCUUUAACAAAAAACAAAACCAUGCAACUCGGUUCUUCUAUACACUCGGGAGCGUUUUGAAAAGCCUUGGUUUCCACCUUAGCCUUGCAGGGCGAGGGCUUUGAAACUGCUCGAGCACUCAGAAGCGCAGGCCCAUCUGGGGCUGAGGUGGGUGACAGCUGCUCAGAGGUCAAAACCGCCCUCCUGUCAGGACCGAGAGGCAGGCACAGAGGCCGGCUGCUCCUUAUUUCCCCCCUUUUGGAAGGGAAGUGAGUGCAUCGCUCUGAGGGCAGCUUGCUUGGUUCUUUUCUCUGGUUCAGAAGCAGUUGCCUUGAAAGUAGGUUAAAUAUUGGAGUUGCUCUGUGGCUUGCUGUUGCCGUUUUGAAUAUUCUUAACUCUCCUUCAUGUCUGGCCACUGGGGCUGCAAUCUAGCAUUUCUUGGUAGCCUCAGAUGUCUGACAUAGGAGUAGGUUCUAGAAGAUUCAUGUAAUUUUGGUAGAAGCACAUCCUUCCAGAGACAUUUAUUCCUUGGGCAAAAAUACAGAGCUAGUCACUGAAUAUGGUAAAGCUUGAGUGACUUUUGAAUAGGAGAAGAUCACCAACGAAAAGGGUUACUUUUAACCCCCCCCCUUUUUUUUUUUUUUUUUUUUUUGCGGGACGCGGGCCUCUCACUGUUGUGGCCUCUCCCGUUGCGGAGCAUAGGCUCCGGACGCGCAGGCUCAGCGGCCAUGGCUCAUGGGCCCAGCCGCUCCGCGGCAUGUGGGAUCUUCCCGGACCGGGGCACAAACCCGUGUCCCCUGCAUUGGCAGGCGGACUCUCAACCACUGUGCCACCAGGGAAGCCCCCCCCCCCCCUUUUUAAACACCUUGUAUAUCAGCCAUCCAGUUCAGAGACAUCGUCAGAUCGGACUCGGGUCAUUUCUGUAUUUGGCUCUGGGCAGUCGUCAUGAACACUGAUGAAAAUGGUUUAUGUGCAGAAGGUUUAGGAGCUUGAAUAGGGCUCCACUGGUCUCUGGACGUGUGCUAGAAUUUUUUUUUGAGCCCUGACGUGAGUUCGUUUUUCUCUUGUUUUCAGUUGAAUGAGUUUAAAAAUAAAUAACAAUCCCAUUAACCAAGAAUUCCACGCACUUGGGUUCAGAAAGAAGAGUCCGCUCCAUAUGUACGGGUCGUGAGCAUGGAAUAUAAUGAAGGUCAUAAGACGAUGCUGAAAAAUGCUUCUUGGAAGCAAUAGAUUUUGUUUUAUUCAAACCAGGUCAGUGUUGGAGUGCUCUCGGAGGGCGGGCCUGUGAGGUCAGCCUCCUCAGGGCCGGGCAGGGAGUGGCCCUUCGCAAAGCUGUGGCUGCCCGGGCGGCGCGGUAGGGGCCGGGGCCGGGCUCGAGGCAGCAAGGGAGGCAAGGCCUGUGUCCCCGGAGAGGGCCAGGUGCUUGCUGGCACCUGCCUGAGCACGGGCUGACCCUGGGAAAAGGAAUCGAGGUGGGGGGAGCACAGUGAGUCUUCUGUGAUGAGCAUGUGAUCACACACGAUUAUAGUGGCUCCACGUCUGGAUACAGGGAGCUCGUGGUUUACGUCCAGGUCUCAUCUAAUCUUCCCCAUAACCCUCAGUGCUGGGAUUAUCCUUAAUUUACCAGUGAGGAAACCAGGGCUCAGAUCAGGGAUCUUGCAACACCAGUGGGGCAGCUAGGUCUAACUCAAGUGCCUGCUCUCAGCCACUGUGUCUGCUUCAUUUCAGUAACUUCUUUAAAUAUCCCUAAUACCUUUUGAGUAAAUGAAUGAGUGAGUCAUGAACCCAAGCAGGCUCUGUUGUGACCCCCGUGUCCCUCCCGUGUAGAACUCCUUCCCCACUAGUAAGCACUGCUGCGACCCCUAUCACAGAUUAGUUAAUGCCUAUUUUUUUAAAGUUUGUUAUUUUUUUAAGUGUAUACAGUUCAGUGAUUUUUAGUAUAUUCAGAGUUGUACAACCAUCACCACUAUCUAAUUCUAGAGCAUUUUCAUCACCCCUAAAAGAAACCCUAUCCCCGUUACUAGCCACUCCCCAUUCCCCCCUGCCCCCAGCUCCUGGCAGCCACUAACCUACUUUCUGUCUAUGGGUUUGCCCAUUCUGGGCAUUUCAUGUAAUUGGAAUCGUAAAAUAUGUGGUCUUUGUGACUGGCUUCUUUUACUUAGCAUAAUGUUUGUAAGAUUCACCAGUGCCUUUUUAUGGCUUAAUAAUACUCCAUUGUAUGGAUAGACCACAUUUUGUUUAUCCAUUUAUCCAAUUAAAGACAUAGAAAAACAAUUUUUUCCUUGUGAUGAGAUAAAGAGGUCCAUACUUUCAGUUACGAAAUAAACGAGUCACAGCUUUGAAAUGUGCAGUAUGGGGAAUAUAGUCAGUAAUUAUGUAUCCUAAGAGUUUUCCUCACAAGGAAAAAUACAUAUUUUUUAAUUUCUGUAAUGUUGUGUCUGUAUGAGAUGAUGGAGGCUCGCUAACCCUAUUGUGGUCAUGUCACAGUAUGUGUAAGUCAGGGCACUGUGCUGUGCACCUCACGCCUACACGGUGCUGUGUGUCAGUUACAGCUCAGUGAACAGGAGAGAUUCAGAAAAGGCUUUACUCUCUGAGCAACUUUCACUUACACCAUGCAGCAGUGUGCAUUAUCUGGGUCAUGUUGUGCAGCACAUCCCUGGCACUCAUUUGUCUCACAACUGGAAGCAAGCGUUUUUAGUUUUGAUGAAGUCUAACUAAUUAAAACAUUUUUUCUUGCUUAUGCUUUUGGUUUCAUAUUUAAGAAUUCAUUGCCUAAUCCAAGGUCAUGAAGAUUUAUACCUAUGUUUUCUUCUAAGAGGUUUAUAGUCUUAGCUCUCACUUUUUGGUCUUUGAUGCAUUUUGGGUUAAUUUUCAUCUGUGGUCUGAGGUUGGAGUCCAGUUAUUCUUUUGCUUGUGCUUGUCCCAUUUGUCCCAGCACUGUUGGUUGAAGAGACUGUUCUUUCCCCUUUGAGUUUUCUUGGAGUUGUGUCUGGUUUUGAGUUUCAUACAAUGAAAUCGAGAAUAUUUUGUGUCUGAUUUCUUGAGCUUCCUGCUCUGUCCUUGAGGUGCGUCAGUGUUGGGUGUAGCACUGGGUCAUUCUUUUUUUCUUGGUGAGUAGAAUUUCAUUGCAGGAAUACCACAGAUUUUUCUCCAUUCCCCUGUUAGCGAACAUCUGGGUUGCUCUCAGUUUUUGAGGGUUAUUAGUAAAGCUGAUAUGAACAUUCUUCUAUCUUUUUGGUAGGUGUAACUGGGUUGUAGGGUAUGUUAGCUUAAGAGAUACAGACACAAAUGGGGGCAUAGAAGGGCGAUAAAUCAAAUAUUCUGUUUAGAGGAUAGUGAGAGAAUUGUUUGCUUGGAUUACCAGUUUUCAAAGAACUUGAGUGAUACGGUUCACCUUUAACGAAAAUGAUCCUGGCUGCCAUUGACCGUUAGUUCCUCAGAAGGUAUACUAAUCAUGAAAUCAAAAGCAGCUGUUAUUUUCCUGUGCAGAAAGAAAACCAGGCUCUUCUGAAUUCGCAGCAAUGGCACACAAAAUUAUAUUGCCGACUUGAUGAUGAUUAAGAACAAGAAGAAAAAUAAGUGGAGUUAAUUUUUUCCCUUGUUUUUUAAAAUUGAAAAUUUUAAAUUUUAUAAGAAAUGUGAAGUCACGUAUGUGGAAAUAAAGAUAAAUAACAAGGGAAUAAAAAUACCAAGCAUUUAUAUGAACUUGGGCUUUGUGUUUUCUCAGUUUGCUUAUUUAUCAAAAGCAGAUAAUAUCUAUCCUGUAGGUUUUAGAAACUAUUAUAUGACAUUCCUGACACAUAUGUAGAUGUUCAGAAAGUGGUGAUAAUUUUAUCAAAUAUUUGGGGUGGAAAAGAGAGUAAAAGACAAAUUUAAAGUAUUAAGUCAAGAUCCUAACUUCUUAGGUUUCCUAAAUUGAACCAUGGCACAAGUUUGAUUUAAUCGUAACAGAAUGUUGGUGAAUAUUUUCGCUUGCUAAAAAUUCCUCCAAAUUACUGACUACUGAAAAUAAGUUGCCUUCCUUUGAAUGUACUAAUUUGCUGAUGAUUUGCAAACUUCUUUCUUUCUUAUUUUGCUCUCCCCACUCCCUACUGAGUUGCCAUUUCCUUCCUAGAUACAGUUUCUAUUAGUGUCCUUUGUUAAAGGCCUCGGGACCAGUGUCUUCUAGAACUGUGCCAGCAAGCUCAGACUUGCGAGUCGGGCCAGGAAGAGUAAACGAGGACCCACUCUGUUACAGGAUUCCAGGGGCGAAGCUUUGAGCUCCUUUUUGCCCCUCAGGCUCAAUCCAACAGGCCUUGUAAAUCUGAGGCAUUCUUGGAGGAAGAGUUGUAGACAUCCCCUUCCUUGCCGCUGCUCACGCCCUCCUUCUUGACCCCGUGGGUCACAGCCCAGUUGUAAGUGUGUGCGAGGGGGUCCCCGGGUCUGGCUUUGUGCUGGGAAGGGGUGAGGAACUCAGGGAUUUCUCUUCCUGCUCUGCACCGCAGCUAAGCUCAUUUCCCGAUCCCUCUUCCUGGUGACAGCCUAGUCCUCCAAGGGCGUCCCCAUCUCAGCGCUGGGUGUGUGCAGGGUCCUGCCCAGCUGACUUGCAGGGCGUCAUCUGUAACCACAGAAUGCACUGUGUACUGCUUUUUGUCUUUAAAGUAACUCAGAAUGCUGAGGGUGAAACUGGUCAUUUACGAAGUUUCCUAGAUAUCUAUUUAGUUAACAAGUAAAAUUUGGAAUCAUAAAACCAUCUCUAGAUGGCCAUGUUACUGUAUUGCUGAACUAGCAAAAAGCCAUGCUCUGUUAUCGUAGAUGGUUUUAAAUACUUCAGUUUGGCAUGUUGUGAAAUCUGUGUAUUAUUAAAAUAUAUAUGUGUAUAAUCCCAGUAGUUGAUUUGAUAAGGCAGUCUGUAUGUUUAUCAAUAUAUUUAUUUAUCAGAGUUUUUACUCAAAAUUCAGUAGAGAAAAAUCUGGAAAAACUGAAGAAAAACCAUUGAGUAAAAUCACUAAUUCCACACCCCCCCCACAGUAACAAAGUGCUAGUGAGGGUACAUGGGGAGGGAGCCUGAUGCAGGUGAGCAGCCCCAUCAGGGGAGUGACUCCGCCAAGCGAAGUGGCCUAGCCGUAAAAGUAUCCAGUGCCAUUACGUUCAUUUUAAUUUUGUUUAUUUCAUUUACUUUUUGGCCUCCACACGUGGGAUCUUAGUUCUCCAACCAGGGAUCGAACCCGCACCUGCUGCAUUGGAAGCUUGGAGUCUUAACCACUGGACUGCCAGGGAAGUCCGAUGUUCAUUUUAAAGAAUAGCUGUAUUCUGUGGAUUGCUUAUUGAAUCUUGAGACAUUUAUCUUUGUAACCCUAGAGUCAUGGUUUAUUGUUAGCAUCUAAUCCAGUGAAAGUGACCUUCUUGUUUACAACCUCUGAGAUGUCGGUAAUACUCAUCCCCUCCCCCUCCCCCUCCCUGUGCUGUUGGGCUAGUUGAUCAGUGUGACCUGAGCACAAGUUUGGAAUAGAUCGACUUCCCCUCCAUUCCAAAAUGAGUGGGGUUGCGGCUUGGGGGAUCUCAGUCCCCCCCCUCCGCCCCAAGGGACUGAACCCUCGCCCUUGGCAGUGGAAGCGUGGAGUCCUAACCACUGGACCACCAGGGAAGUCCAGUUGUUUUUUAACAAAACAUUUGGUGAAAAUGAAUUCAAACAUCUAAUCCAUGCUUUUUAUUAUUAUUUUUUAAAGCAGCAAAGCUCUUCAGAGUUGUCUGUUCUCACUGUCUUCACUCCCUCUCUCCCAUUCUCAAACUCAGUCUAAUCAGACUUUCGUCCCUCACCACUCCCUCAAAACUGCUGCUCUUGUCAAGGCCACCUGUGGUCUCCACAUGGCAGAAACUGCUUAAUUCUCAGCGUAGGACGGAAGUCCUGGCUUCCUGCGCACCGUGCUGGCUGUUCCCCCAGGCUCCCAGCUGCUUCCUUCUCUUCUCCCCAUCCUCUUACUGAAGCUCCCUGGGCUCAGUCCUCGGUCCCCUCCUCUACUCUGCUAACUCCCUGGGGGACCUCUUCCAGGCUCCUGACCCUAAUGCAGCUGCGUACCGAAACCCCAGCGCACAGCCCCAGCCCGGGCUCCUCUCCAGAAUCCAGACUCGUGCACUGGCUGCCGGCUGCCUCCUGGGCAUCUGCUGGACGCCGGCAGCUCACCCCGCAGUCUGCCCCGUCCUGCUUUCCCCACCUCCCUCAUUGGCAGCUCCCUCCUCCUAAUUGCUGAGGCCAACGCCUCGGAUGAUUCUCACACUGUACAUCCAGUCCAGCAGCAAAUCCUGUUGGUUCCACCUUCAAAAUAUAGUCAGAAUCUGACUGUCCAGACCACUGUCACCAUGUAAAUUGUAACUCUCCUCCCUGCCCCACCACACUCCCAGUUUCCCUGCUUUUUUUCCUUUUAUCCAAAGGGUUUACUAUUUUCUGUAUAAUCUAUUUGUUCCUUAUAUGUACUGUUUCUUUUCUGUCUUAUUCCACUAAAAUGUAAGCUUGAUGAAGUUAGGGAUUUUUGUUUGUUCACAGAUUUAUUCCUACUGCCUAGAAUAGUUCCUUGCAAACAGUGGUCACGUAAUAAGUAUUUGUUUAAUUGACUCUGAUAAUUUUGAAACAUGUAUAUAAAGCCCUUUGGGUCCUUAUUGAUUAGGUGGUAGUCAUUGUAUCAUUGACAACAGCGUUUAUGUACAGGAUUGCAGUUUACAAAAUGCUUUCACAUAUUCGUUUAUUCAGCUAACACAAAUGCCAGUCAUUGUAUCAGACCCCUGUACAAAAUCCGUGGGUUCCUUGCUCUGGCCCCCAAAAGAGAUAAAGAUGCUAUGUCUUUGUUCACGUUGGCUUGUCCCACUUUCACGGCCAGAUCUUUCUCCACAUCCCUACACGUAAUUUAUACUGCAGCCGAGCCCUACUGGGUGUUCUUUCAGAUGCUCUGUGGCUCCCUUCUUCAUGCCUCUGCUUGCUCAGGCUGCUCUUUCUAAAUCUCUGCUGAUGGAUGUGUGCAUGCACCUGUCUUCCUCCCUCCCUCCCUCCCUCCCUCCCCCCCUUCCCCCCUUCUCUUUUUCCUGUCUAAUACAGUAGCAGGACUUUAGGGUUGCUUUUUUUUUUUUUUUUUUUAACAUCUUUAUUGGAGUAUUAUUGCUUUACAGUGGUGUGUUAGUUUUCUGCUUUAUAACAAAGUGAAUCAGUUAUUCAUAUACAUGUGUUCCCAUAUCUCUUCCCUCUUGCGUCUCCCUCCCUCCCACCCCUCUAGGUGGUCACAAAGCACCGAGCUGAUCUCCCUGUGCUAUGCGGCUGCUUCCCACUAGCUAUCUAUUUUACGUUUGGUAGUGUAUAUAUGUCCAUGCCACUCUCUCACUUUGUCACAGCUUACCCUUACCCUUCCCCCUCCCCAUAUCCUCAAGUCCAUUCUCUAGUAGGUCUGUGUCUUUAUUCCAGUCUUACCCCUAGGUUCUUCAUGACAUUUUUUUCCCUUAGAUUCCAUAUAUAUGUGUUAGCAUACGGUAUUUGUCUUUCUCUUUCUGACUUACUUCACUCUGUAUGACAGACUCUAGGUCCAUCCACCUCACUACAAAUAGCUAAAUUUCGUUUCUUUUUAUGACUGAGUAAUAUUCCAUUGUAUAUAUGUGCCACAUCUUCUUUAUCCAUUCAUCCGAUGAUGGACACAUAGGUUGCUUCCAUCUCCUGGCUAUUGUAAAUAGAGCUGCAGUGAACAUUUUGGUACAUGACUCUUUUUGAAUUAUGGUUUUCUCAGGGUAUAUGCCCAGUAGUGGGAUUGCUGGGUCGUAUGGUGUUCUUUUGG